GGGUGCUCCAGAAACAGGUGCAGGAAGAGAUGCAUCAGUUUCAGUGGCUUGACCAGAACCAAAACGACCCACUGGUACUGCAACUUCUGCAGAUUCCGGAAUACCAGAAUACAAGUAAUCCACUGCUCGCUCUGGAUUGUUAUAAGCAGCUCUUAAUGCACGAACAACUGUUUCUCUGUCCCAGUUGCCACCACCCAUAUCCAUUAGUUGUUGAACAGUCUGUUCCAGGUUAUUACCAGCUACCAAAU
rnacentral:misc_RNA from 1 species